rnacentral:lncRNA from 1 species
AUUAUUGUAAAAGCAGCAGUCCAGCAUCUAGAUAUCAGAGGACUGACAUGGGAGGAGGUUAGAAAUUAUCUCAGUGUCCAAACAAGUCAAGAAUAGUCAGGAACUAGAUAGUGUUGAUAAUGGUUCUCUGUCUGCAAUGGAAUGCGAGAAGCUUAUUGGCUAAUGGACAGGAAUUUAAAAAGUUUAUAGAUGAUUUGCCCAUUAAGCCAGAUGUGAUUUGUGUACAGGAAACGUGGUUGAAACCAAAUUUGGAUUUUAGAAUCGUCGGUUAUUCAUCUGUUAGAAGUGAUAGGGAGGAGGGAAAUGGAGGGGGAUGUGCUACAUUUAUUCAGGAAGAUAUUGCAUUUAGAGAGGUGAGUAUAGGAAGUGAGCAAGAUUAUGUUGGUGUAGAGAUAUGGACAGGUGAGGGAAAGUUUAUAAUUAUUAAUUUUUAUAAUCCUUGUAAGAGGCUAGAUUUAGAUAACUUAAAACAAAUUGAUGGGAUGGAUAGUGAUAGGGUAUUAGUAUAUGGGGAUUUUAAUGUGCAUAGCACUUUAUGGGGAGGAGUUAGAACAGAUACAAAUGGGGAGGUCAUAGAAGAGUUAUUAGAGGAAAAACAAAUGGUUUGUUUAAAUGAUGGGAGAGAGACUAGAAUAGAUGUGCGCACUGGGAACACUUCAGUGUUAGAUUUAACAUUAGUGUCUAGAAAUCUAGGUAGAAGAUGUGAGUGGGAUGUGUUAGAAGACACAGCAAUAGGUAGUGAUCAUUUUCCAGUGUUUUGUCAACUACCAUUGGAAAAGAAUAAGAGGAAAGGUGAAAUGACAGGGAGACUGAUAUUUAGUAGUGCAAAAUGGGAAUUAUUUAAAUAUAUUUGUGAAAAGGAGAUGUGUAAAAUAGAUUUAAAUGAAGAUAUUGAGAGGGUUGAGGAAAAUAUUAGAACAACUUUAAUAGAAGAUGCAAAUCAGUCCAUUUCUAAAAGGAAAGGAAAAAUGGAGAUAAAUAAAUAAAGCUCUCAGAGAAUUAAGACAAACUCAUAGUUUUCAGAAUUUAAUUGUUUUUAAGAAAGCACAAGCUAAAGUUAGGAAAACAAUACGUAGUGCAAAGAGGCAUAGUUGGCGAAGUUUUUGUAAUAAAAUAGGAAGAGUAACACCGGUUGGGGAUGUUUGGGGAAUGAUCAAGAGUAUGAGAGGAAUUAGAAAGGAAUACCAGUACCCAGUAUUAAAGAGGGAUGAGGAAGUAGCAAUUUCUGAUGAGAAGAAGGC